GGCCCGUAAUCCGGGUUGCGGACAGUGUCUGGUGGGUAGUUUGACUGGGGCGGUCUCCUCCUAAAGAGUAACGGAGGAGCACGAAGGUUGGCUAAUCCUGGUCGGACAUCAGGAGGUUAGUGCAAUGGCAUAAGCCAGCUUGACUGCGAGCGUGACGGCGCGAGCAGGUGCGAAAGCAGGUCAUAGUGAUCCGGUGGUUCUGAAUGGAAGGGCCAUCGCUCAACGGAUAAAAGGUACUCCGGGGAUAACAGGCUGAUACCGCCCAAGAGUUCAUAUCGACGGCGGUGUUUGGCACCUCGAUGUCGGCUCAUCACAUCCUGGGGCUGAAGUAGGUCCCAAGGGUAUGGCUGUUCGCCAUUUAAAGUGGUACGCGAGCUGGGUUUAGAACGUCGUGAGACAGUUCGGUCCCUAUCUGCCGUGGGCGCUGGAGAACUGAGGGGGGCUGCUCCUAGUACGAGAGGACCGGAGUGGACGCAUCACUGGUGUUCGGGUUGUCAUGCCAAUGGCACUGCCCGGUAGCUAAAUGCGGAAGAGAUAAGUGCUGAAAGCAUCUAAGCACGAAACUUGCCCCGAGAUGAGUUCUCCCUGAGACUUAGAGU
rnacentral:rRNA from 1 species